rnacentral:lncRNA from 1 species
GAGCUAAAUUCCUGGCCCUAAUAAGCUUUUAUCAGUGUCAAUCACCAGGUCAGAUUCAAACCUCAGGGCACUUCUCACAAUUAACAGACCCUGAAAUUGCCCAGCCAGAACCAAAUGGCUCUUUGUAAAGUUUGCAGUAGAUCACUACAAUCACCCCUGGGCCUCGAGUGAAGACCGGGCUGUUCCUAGGCCAGGCUCCCCUGCUGACAGAUGAUGUUUGUACGCUGACCAAGACACCACUCAUUUCCAAUUACUGAUGGGCAAGCUGGAGAUAAAACAGAUCCUUGGGCAAAACAUAAGGGACUUUCUCCCAGCAGCACAAUAGUCCAUGUGCCUUGCCUUUCCAAGGCCACCCAUGGCAGAUGUCUAGUUCUAGCAGGAAUGCUACCAGUCAGAACCAGCAGGGUUUCUAGCCAUGCAUGUGACCCUGGCACAUGUUUCCCAUUCAGGUGUGGUCCUGUCUCAUUUCAUCCCCAGGCUGGUGGAAAUUAUAGCUGUGCCUCUUCAUUGAG